rnacentral:lncRNA from 1 species
UUCAACCCUAGACCCGCCGCCUUGAACCCUUCACCAUCUCCGGCCGGCAGCGGGGCUCAAACCACCACCAAAAUCCGACCAUGCAACCAUCACCCCUCCUUGAACCCCAAUCCACCACCAUUUCUUCCCAAAUACUCACAAAAUUGGGUCAAUUUCAAAUCUGAAAAAGAAGAAAAGAAAAUCUUGCAAGCUUUCGAGUUUUCUAUGAUCGAUGCGGCUUGAAACUAGUAUUGUUCAUUUGUUCUCAAAGAAAACAUGCGGGUAAUACCAGUUUCGGGUCAAAUCAAAGUCGCCUAAGGUUGUCAAGUUUUGCCCGUGUGGCCAUCAAGGUAUUCUCGUUAUUUUCUCCUUCGUUUCCAUCUUCUAUUUUGUUCGUGUACUCGCCUCUUUCUGUUGCUUCUCUUUUCUGUCUUUUAAAGGGUUUUAAGUCAUUUUGUGUGCAUAUCUAUGAUUCUGAAUCUUCCUUCUCUUUAAUUUAAGUUUAUUUCAAGUUCAAUGAAGUAGAAAUUAGCGUAUCAAUGUCUUGGUAUAAUAUGAUUGAUUAGUUGAUCCAAUUGCUCUAAAUUAAUGUUUCCGAGCACCUCUAUUGAAAGGUUUGUUUGUUUAAAAGGUUCCGACUAAGUUCAGAGUUGAAAAUUCAUGUUUUUGUUAUAGUAUUCAGGCCCAUGGGUUGGGUGAGGUUUUUGCUUUAAGAUGAUCCAUAUUUGUUUUGGUUCAUAAAGGUAAAUGGUAGUUGUAUAAGGGGUAGUUUGGGUAUUUGGUUGAGGGAAUCUCUUUGAUAACAGAAAUAGGAAGCUUCUAGUAGGGGUUUUAAUUUGAAUUUCAGAUUGUUAGUAGGUUAGCUUGGUUAACAAGUCAAAAUUUUAGGGAUCUCUAAGCUAAAAGCAAAUUUGAAAAGGGCUUAAAGGGUAGAACUAAAAUCUGAAAGGUUGCGCUAUUUGGCUUGCCUAUAAAGGCACCUUUUCUUGCCUUAGAAGGCAGACUUGAAGAGAAAAAUCAGGAAAAAAAAUCAAAACGGCUGAAUAAUUUUAGGAAAAUAACACUGUUACGUUGAGUUAUCUUGGUGUUUUUUCUGAAGUUUUCCUAUUGUUGAAGCAAUUUCUGGUUAGCUUAUACUAAAAUGGGUUAAGGCCAAGUUUGAUUUGAGGUUUUCUAGUUCAUUGAGUGACUGAAAUUAGUGUCUGGAUUAUUGUAUCUCAUCUGCUGGAUUCGAAACUAGUGUGCUGGCUCAUUUUCUAGGUGCUGAGUGUUACUGUUGUUGCUGUUUACUGCAUUCACCCCUUUUUCCUUUUGCAAUCUCCAGGUACUUCUUUAAAAUAUGGUGGAAAUGAAUUCCGAUUGAGCUUUGUAUAAAUAUCUGUGGCCGAGCUGGAGUUAAAUGAAAACAUUAGUCCCUGUUGUGAUUACUGUUCGAUUCUGCCAUGUUAUUAUCCAUGUUUUAGCCUAGCUUAUUGUGAAUACUCCAUUUCAUGAUAUGCAUUUGGUUCUAAAAACUAGAUUCGAACUCUAUUUGAAUAUAAGUGAUUCGAGAAUGCUUUAGGCUUGGUAGAACAUGUAUUAAUU